rnacentral:rRNA from 1 species
UACAGGGGGUGCAAACGUUGCUCGGAAUUAUUGGGCGUAAAGCGCGCGUAGGCGGCCACUUAAGUCGGAUGUGAAAGCCCCUGGCUCAACUGGGGAAGUGCACCCGAAACUGAAUGGCUUGAGUGCGAAAGAGGGUCGCGGAAUUCCCGGUGUAGAGGUGAAAUUCGUAGAUAUCAGGAAGAACACCAAUGGCGAAGGCAGCUCUCUGGGACGGUACUGACGCUGAGACGCGAAAGCGUGGGGAGCAAACAGG